UACGUAGGUGACAAGCGUUGUCCGGAUUUACUGGGCGUAAAGAGCGCGCAGGCGGUCGAUCAAGUCGAGUGUGAAAGCCCCCGGCUCAACUGGGGAGGGUCAUUCGAUACUGAUCGACUCGAAGGCAGGAGAGGGUAGUGGAAUUCCCGGUGUAGUGGUGAAAUGCGUAGAGAUGUGGAGGAACACCGAUGGCGAAGGCAGCCCCCUGGGCCAAUACUGACGCUCAUGCACGAAAGCGUGGGGAGCAAACAGG
rnacentral:rRNA from 1 species